CCUACGUGAGGCAGCAGUGGGGAAUAUUGGUCAAUGGACGCAAGUCUGACCCAGCAACGCCGCGUGAAGGAAGAAGGCUUUCUGGUUGUAAACUUCUUUUAAGGGGGAAGAGCAGAAGACGGUACCCCUUGAAUAAGCCACAGCUAACUACGUGCCAUCAGCCGCGGUAAUACGGAGGUGGCAGGCGUUGUCCGGAUUUACUGGGUGUAAAGGGCGUGCAGCCGGGGAGAAAAGUCAGAUGUGAAAUCCACGGGCUCAAGCCGUGACUUGCCUUUGAAACUGUUUGCCUUGAGUGUCUGUGAGGUAAUCGGAAUUCGUUGUGUAGCGGUGAAAUGCGUAGAUAUAAGGAAGAACACCAGUGGCGAAGGCAGAGUACUGGAGGAAAACUGACGGUGAGGCGCGAAAGCGUGGGGAGCAAACAGGAUUAGAUACCCCGGUAGUC
rnacentral:rRNA from 1 species